GCCUAGAGUCAAUGUGUUAUUUCUCUGAGGGCAUCAGGAACUUUUGCAAAAUAUGAGCAGGUCAGGAGGAGGACAAUCAGGAUUUCAGGACAUAGUUAUUCUGUGUAUCCUGUACGAUCUCCCGGGAAAAUGAAGCCUCGAUUUACAGCACAAAGGAAGUACGUCAACCACUGCGCAACCAAAAAAGGAAGAGGAUAGUGCUUUUGUUUUCCCCAGCAACUAUUGCAGAUGAGGCAAUGAAUCUGUGGGAAUGACAGUUGAGAAAAAAACCCCACAAAGCCAACCUGAUCCUGAUUUUCAGCACAGAGAAGAGAAGCACUGCAGCCAGGAGAGGAACAGUCACUCGGCAGAAGCAGCGGAGAAUUGGGUUUGCUCUGUCUGCCUUUGUGGUGCAUGUGUGUGAGC